CUGGUUCUCUAGGGAGCAUGUGCACGCCUUGUCAUCUUUAUAUCUCCACCUGUGCACUUUUUGUAGACCCUUCAAGGUCUAUGUCGCUUCAUUUACCCCAAACAAAUAAUAGAAUGUUGUGCCUUUGAAAAAUCUAUACAACUUUCAGCAACGGAUCUCUUGGCUCUCGCAUCGAUGAAGAACGCAGCGAAAUGCGAUAAGUAAUGUGAAUUGCAGAAUUCAGUGAAUCAUCGAAUCUUUGAACGCACCUUGCGCUCCUUGGUAUUCCGAGGAGCAUGCCUGUUUGAGUGUCAUUAAUAUAUCAACCCUCUUCUCUUGUUGAGUGGUUUGGAUGUGGGGGUUUGCUUUGCUGGCCCUCUUCUUGAGAGGUUCAGCUCCCCUGAAAUGCAUUAGCAGAACGACCUGUUCAUUGGUGUGAUAAACUAUCUACGCUAUUGAACGUGAGGCAGUUCAGCUUCCUAACAGUCCUCUGGACAAGUUUAUCAUUUUAUGUGACCUCAAAUCAGGUAGGACUACCCGCUGAACUUAAGCAUAUCAAUAAGCGGAGGAAAAGAAACUAACAAGGAUUCCCCUAGUAACUGCGAGUGAAGCGGGAAAAGCUCAAAUUUAAAAUCUGGCGGUCUUUUGGCUGUCCGAGUUGUAAUCUAGAGAAGUGUUAUCCGCGCUGGACCGUGUACAAGUCUCCUGGAAUGGAGCAUCAUAGAGGGUGAGAAUCCCGUCUUUGACAUGGACUGCCAGGGCUUUUGUGAUGCGCUCUCAAAGAGUCGAGUUG
rnacentral:rRNA from 1 species